AGUGAACGCUGGCGGUAGGCCUAACACAUGCAAGUCGAACGGCAGCACAGUAAGAGCUUGCUCUUACGGGUGGCGAGUGGCGGACGGGUGAGGAAUACAUCGGAAUCUACUUUUUCGUGGGGGAUAACGUAGGGAAACUUACGCUAAUACCGCAUACGACCUACGGGUGAAAGCAGGGGAUCUUCGGACCUUGCGCGACUGAAUGAGCCGAUGUCGGAUUAGCUAGUUGGCGGGGUAAAGGCCCACCAAGGCGACGAUCCGUAGCUGGUCUGAGAGGAUGAUCAGCCACACUGGAACUGAGACACGGUCCAGACUCCUUCGGGAGGCAGCAGUGGGGAAUAUUGGACAAUGGGCGCAAGCCUGAUCCAGCCAUACCGCGUGGGUGAAGAAGGCCUUCGGGUUGUAAAGCCCUUUUGUUGGGAAAGAAAAGCAGCAGGUUAAUACCCCGCUGUUCUGACGGUACCCAAAGAAUAAGCACCGGCUAACUUCGUG
rnacentral:rRNA from 1 species